UAGAAUGUAGUAGCACCAGGGGAGGAGCUAAUUUACAUAGGGCUGACAUGAUUGGUCAUAUGUAAAUGAGCGGGUGCCAGAAUUUGAAAGAGGAAAUAGCCAAGAAUGUCAGUUGGAAAAAAAACGUGAACAUUCUAAAGUCAGUUAGGAAAUGAAAAAGUCAGUUAGGACAGGAAGAAGCAAAUUGUUAGGUCAUGAUUGUUUAGUUGUCAGUGAAUAUAGGUCAGGGAAUAUGUUAAUAAGAAGUAUUUGAAGAAAUAGACAAUAUAGUAAGGUGUUUUUUGUGUGUGUGCGUCAGGACGACUUGAGAAACUGCAAGUUGCUUCUGGCAUGAGAGAAUUGGCCGUCUGCAAGGACGUUGCCCAGAGGAUGCCCAGAUAUUUUGAUGUUUUUACCAUCCUUGUGGGAGGCUUCUCUCAUGUCUCCGCAUGGGGCUGGAGCUGAAAGAGGGAGCUCAUCCGCACUCUCCCCAGGUGGGAUUCGAACCUGGCAGCCUUCAGAUGGAGUCCAAUGGAUCACUGACCGAAUGGGACAAAUGUCAUGUGAUAGGACCCGUUUGGAAUCGCAUUCGAAGAGUCUCAGAAAUGGAAGCUUUCCAGUGUGUUGCAGCAUAUCAGUGUGUCGACUGAAGGUGCAUGUUGUGCAAAUGUAACAAGAAAUGACAAAAGCCUUGGAAAUGUACAUUAUUAUCUUCAAAUUGUAUAUUUUUAAAUAUAUAAAUUAAAGGAUCUAAUGAGA